rnacentral:lncRNA from 10 species
CCAUGCCCUUGACCAGCCUUGAGACCUCGAGCAAGACAAGGCAACCAUUCUGAGGCUGAGUUUCCUGCUCUGCAAACGACAUGACACCCUCGGCUGGAUGUUGCAGCGGUGACACUGAAGUAGUGACACCAGACGAUUUCUGUACUUAAUGUGAUGUCAGCACUUAGUAAACAUUCAUAUCCCCUGCCUCCAGAGUUCCUUAAGGUUCAAUUGAUGGAAUGCCUCCUCUGCACCAGCACCUGGGCAGGUUUGUUGUUGUUGUUUUGCGACGGAAUCUCACUC